rnacentral:sRNA from 1 species
GAGGGGAAAAACAAGCCCGGAGUCCGGGCUGCGGUCACAUGAUGGGGGGAAGGGAGGGGAACGCGAUGAAUGGCGAAAGAGGGUGGGGGAUGGACUUGGCGUGAACCGGGAGGCACCGCUCUGUGUGACCCAAGGAGGAGGCUUGGCAGGCGAUUCCAGUCUCCGCCUUUCAACCUAUGCUGCCACCGCAGGCCGAUUGAAACAAAACAAAACAAGCCAGGCGAAGUGGACAGCAAGGUUUUUGUAGCUUUAAAUGCUGCGUGCUGUCUAGGGUGUUUCACUCUCCGCUGUGCACUCUACACUCGAGUUCAUUCUUAGGGAGUUUUCAGCUACAGUCGUUUUUAGAAGGAGCACUGACAGCCAGCUCUCGCCUUCAAAAAGAAAAUGAUCCCAUUUAGUCAUCAUAGUCCUGUUUUCCUCAUCCAUAAUAAUACUUUACUCACAGAGUUGUUCUGAGUUUAAAAUAAAAUUAGAUGAAGUACAUGGAAGUGCUGUGUAGGAGUUUUGGGAUGGUGGUUGAUAACUAAGACAAAGUGCUGAAGAAAUGAUAGAAGUUGCAAAGAGACGUUAGUGUACUAU